GAUGAAGAACGUAGCGAAAUGCGAUAAGUAAUGUGAAUUGCAGAAUUCAGUGAAUCAUCGAAUCUUUGAACGCACAUUGCGCCCGCCAGUAUUCUGGCGGGCAUGCCUGUCCGAGCGUCAUUUCAACCCUCGAACCCCUCCGGGGGGUCGGCGUUGGGGACCUCGGGAGCCCCUAAGACGGGAUCCCGGCCCCGAAAUACAGUGGCGGUCUCGCCGCAGCCUCUCCUGCGCAGUAGUUUGCACAACUCGCACCGGGAGCGCGGCGCGUCCACGUCCGUAAAACAUCCAACUUCUGAAAUGUUGACCUCGGAUCAGGUAGGAAUACCCGCUGAACUUAAGCAUAUCAAUAAGCGGAGGA
rnacentral:misc_RNA from 1 species